UCGCUACAUGAUGAGCCUAUGUUAGAUUAGCUAGUUGGUGGGGUAAAGGCCUACCAAGGCAGUGAUCUAUAGCUGGUCUGAGAGGAUGAUCAGCCACACUGGAACUGAGACACGGUCCAGACUCCUACGGGAGGCAGCAGUGGGGAAUAUUGGACAAUGGGCGAAAGCCUGAUCCAGCUAUGCCGCGUGAGUGAGGAAGGCCUUAGGGUUGUAAAACUCUUUCAGUAGGGAAGAUAAUGACGGUACC
rnacentral:rRNA from 1 species